UUUACGACUCCUCUCGUAACAUAUUAAUUUGUCUAAUCGGUUUUAAACGUCCGCCUCUGCUCUUCCCAAUCUCCAAGUGCAAAUCAACGAGGCCGAGCAAUGGUCGACGAUUCUCGAGUUGAUAGUAGACACGAUAAUAGAUAUGUGGAAGACAAUUAUUAACUCCACAUUCGUUUAUAAGUAUUAUUGUACUUAGUGGUUUCAUAUAAAACGCGAUAAUUGAUCUAAAUCAUUACGGAAGCGAUUAACCGAUCAG
rnacentral:misc_RNA from 1 species